rnacentral:lncRNA from 1 species
ACUGCGGUGGAUGUCGAUCAGGACGGAGUUGAGCCGCUAACUCAUCGAUACAGCAACAGAUUGGAAGGCACCGGCAGGCAGCAGCAGACACUCAGUCCACGCAGAAUUUUGGAGUUUCACCUCGCGGUCGAACUCCUCCAAAAGAUCUUGGGCGCUCAUCGUUUUCUCGCGAGAUGAAAGAGUGGGCACAUGGAGUCAGCUAUUUAUGGAGAAAAAAUUAAGAUGCGAAAGAGAGAGGCACAAAAAACGAAGCGUCAUUAAGAGAGUAGAU